UCUUGCUCCCAAAUGCCUGUUCAUUUUAACCUUUUGAUCAUUAACAAUUGAUCCAUUGAGGGAAAAAGGGAAAAAAAAGAAAAAAAAAAGGAAAAAGAAAAGGAAAAAGAGAGAUGUUAAUGUUGAAGUUCAACAAGCCCUUUUUCAGGUUAAAUGGUUUACGUUUCUUUAACUUGAUCUUACUGAGUAUAAAGUAUUUGUGGUUGCCUUGAUUCACGUUAAUCUUGUAACAAAUGGCUUCUAUUUUGUGAAAAAGUGCUUGCAUUUAAGACUAUUGUGCUUAUGAUAUUACAUGAUUCCUUAUAUCACAAUUUGCCCAAGGAGGAACUGAUGCGAGUUCAUGAAUAUAAUUUUGACCAUCCCGGUAAUGUCUACCCUUUCCUAAAGUUGGAGAAACAAAUAUUGUAGUGGUAUUUUGUAGAAUAUCUAAACUAUAUAUGUCAUGUUGUAGUGGUAUUUUGAGUCAAAAUUCUGGCACCUGUUUGCUAAUUAUGCUGUGUAUGAAUCAGUGGGAGGAUCCUUAUAAAUUCUUUGGCAGGUCAAUCCUUCAGAUGAUAAUUUUGGAAGGGAUACUAAUUUUUCAUAUCGUUUCCAAAAAUGCUGUGAUCUAGUCUAGUUACUCAUGUAUAUGAACCAUGCAUCAAAGUGGCAGCUGUAAAAGCUAAAAGUCCAUCUUUACAUGCAUGAAAUCCACCCUCUCCAUAAGUCCACUUUUGGGGGCGUAAAACAAUGUAAGAACAUCAUUAAAUUGGCUCCAAUUGAAAGGCUAAUAACUUUAUUUUUCGACCAGCCUAACAUCUUGUAAUUCUAAGACUAUUUGAAUGACUUAGAACCAUUUUGUUCUUUGGUGGAAAGCUUUUAGCCCUUUAUGCUGGUGAAAUUGGUGGGAGCUGCUUUGGUGGUUUUGUUCAUCUUUUCUGGUACAAAGGUGGAAGCAGAUGGGUCAAAUCACAAGUAUAAGGGGAGAGAUCAUGUCCCUUUGUUUGCAAACAAAGUGGGUCUUUUUCACAAUCCAAGGGAUCUAUCUUACAACAAUUUCAGUGGAGAUUUGCAAGUCUCAUUCAGUAAUUUGACGAAUCUUAACAUUCUGUCAAGAUAAGAUUACUGAUUUUGAGAUGAAGCUCAUGGACAUUGACAGCGAGCAUCUUGGAAUUCCAGGAGUAGAGUAUCAUGCCAUUGUAAAGAUGCCAUCAGGUUCGUCAAAGAAUCCUAACCUCUGAAUCCUGGGCGCUUGGUUGUUGAAAUAGAGCCAUUGGAUAAUUUUCCUUUUAAACUGUCCAAUGAUGUACACCAAUCCCAUAGUCAUCUGAUCAAAACGAGCUGAAAUUUUAGUUCAAGAUACAUCUAAAAUGGGGUGGACUGUUCAAUUUGAAUUAUUUGCAUUCAAAAUAUGCAAUUUUUAGGUUCUUUUAAAGCACAUACGCACCAUUCAUCACACUGUCAGAGUAUCAAAAGCUUUUCUCCGCUGCUUCAAUCCGCCGUAUACGUAAAAUAUUAGAGUAUCUGUCUAUGGUAUACCUCGCUGGUCAAUGUGGACUUAUUCAAUAGCGAGUACUGCUCUAAUAUUGGAGUGCGACUUGCUUGUGACCCCGGAACCAGCGAUGUGAGUGCUACCUUUGACUAUAGGGCCCACCUCAAUAUGCAUUGCUCAUAAUACAGACCUUUAUAUUAAUAGCUACUGAAAAAGCUUUGUGGAUCCCAUCAUAAUGUGUGUUCUAUCUACCCCUAUCUAAGCAUUUUGCUAGCUCACCAAAACAUCUCUUCAUUUGGUUGACUUAACCUUUCCAUUUUAGGCAUGCCAACACACGUUUAAAAAGAAAUGCACUAACGGCCUGUUUGGACAGUGGUAUUAAGUUUUAUUAAAUGGGAUUGCAUUACUAAUCCCACUUUGAAAUUGGGGAUGUCAUGUUCGGAAGGAGUGUGAGAUGGGAUUAAAAUUAACUUUGUAGGCUUUGGAAAAUGAGCCUUGUGUUGGAAAGUUUGGGAUGGGAUUAUUAAUCCCACGGUUGAUGGAUUUUUGCUUCAUCUAAGUUCAAUCCAAAUGCAAUUUGAAAGUAAAUCCUGGGAUUUAUUUUUUAAUGCAUACAUUCCAAACAUAGUGUUAGGAAAUAUGGGAUACACCCAAUCCAGGGACAAUACCUUACACAUGCAUUUAUUGUAACUUUUACAAUUCCAUCCACCUUAAUCCCACCUAAUGCAAUGGGCCAAACAAGCCCUAACAGUCUACAUUCAAUGGAGAAAAAGAUUUGGUAGAUAGGAUCUUCCAAUUAGGGAGAUUUUUUUUUUCAUGUUUCAUCCAUGAUGGCAGGCAUCCGAUCAAUGGCAUGGUUGCACUAGUAAAGAGCCCCAAAUAUACAGAUUAGCAACCAAACAGGGAAGUUCCAUGUUGGUGACAAACAGGGAACUCACCAUCUAAAAUGAUAUUUAAAAUCCUGCCAAAGUAUAAUUAUAUUAGUAAAUAAAAAUAUACUAAAAUACCUUUAAAAUAGUAGGGCCCUGUUUGGUAGAAACCUAAAAAUGAGCUCAUCUCAUGUUAGUCAAUUGUAAUUUUGUAUUACAGAUCUUGAUCUCUAAUGCGUUAGGGAUCAAGAUCUCCACCACACGCUUACUGUUAAAGAAAUGAGAUGAAUUCAUUUUUACGCAUCUACCAAACAGGGCCUAAUAUAUAACCAUUAUAGUUCAGCAAUGCUCAAGUGCCCUUAGAGCACACGCAAGUCAUAAUGCUCCUAGCUGUAUUUAGACAUUUUAAUUUUAAACCGUCCAAUCCGUUGAUCUAGACUUUCAUUAGAUCCAAAGCACAUUUCACAUUUCAUGGGCUACCAUGCAAACAUCGCAUGACAAUGUUAAGCAUCUUCAAUAGCCUUCAAUAUGGACGGUAAAGAUUGAUCACACAAAAGUAGGUUCAAUCAAUAAUUUAAUCUGUCUAUUUGUUACGGCAUGUCGUGGAUUGGUUAUGAUAUUACGGAAUCACUUUUGUCAGGCAAUCUUAGUCAUCACAUUCAUCACAUCCAUCACUUGGAACAAGGAUGAGAAGAAAAAGAAGGCCAAUUCAAAGAUGAAUUGGAUCAUCCAAUCAGUGUGAUGUCUGUAGGGUUACCCUUGAAUUCUGUUUUGGAUUCAAUGAACAGUUCAAAUAGAUUGGUUAAACUGCCCAAGUGGCCUGAUACAACUAGGAGCACUAUUAACUUACAAGGCUCCAAGAGAACUGGAGCAUCUUUCAUCUAAUCCUUUUUCCUACAGCACUCAUUCCCAAUGUUUAACAUUUGUCAACUCUCCUACAUUAGAGAAAACUAGGUAUGUUAAUGCAUGGAGCACAAUGAUCAUCAUCAUCAUUAUUA